rnacentral:rRNA from 1 species
AGUGGCGCACGGGUGAGUAANGCAUGGGGACCUACCUCUUAGUGGGGGAUAACGGUUGGAAACNACCGCUAAUACCGCAUACGCCCUUCGGGGGAAAGAUUUAUCGCUAAGAGAUGGACCCGCGUUGGAUUAGAUAGUUGGUGAGGUAAUGGCUCACCAAGUCGGCGAUCCAUAGCUGGUUUGAGAGGAUGAUCAGCCACACUGGGACUGAGACACGGCCCAAACUCCUACGGGAGGCAGCAGUGGGGAAUAUUGGACAAUGGGGGCAACCCUGAUCCAGCCAUGCCGCGUGAGUGAAGAAGGCCUUCGGGUUGUAAAGCUCUUUCAGAUGCGAAGAUGAUGACGGUAACAUCAGAAGAAGCCCCGGCUAAUUUCGUGCCAGCAGCCGCGGUAAUACGAAAGGGGCAAGCGUUGUUCGGAUUUACUGGGCGUAAAGGGCACGCAGGCGGUCUUGCCAGUCAGGGGUGAAAGCCCGGGGCUCAACCCCGGAACUGCCUCUGAUACUGCAAGACUAGAGACUAGGAGAGGGUGGUGGAAUUCCCAGUGUAGAGGUGAAAUUCGUAUAUAUUGGGAGGAACACCAGAGGCGAAGGCGGCCACCUGGACUAGAUCUGACGCUCAGGUGCGAAAGCGUGGGGAGCAAACAGGAUUAGAUACCCUGGUAGUCCACGCCGA